GGUUUUGGGAAACCCUGCUUCAGCUGUGGGGCCACAGAAGGCAGGACUCAGGGAUGGUCUCCACCAUGGCCUGGUCCCCUCUCCUGCUCACCCUCCUGGCUCACUGCACAGGGUCCUGGGCCCAGUCUGUGGUGACUCAGCCACUCUCAGUGUCGGGGAACCCAGGACAGAGGGUCACCAUCUCCUGCACUGGAAGCAGCUCCAACAUUGGGGGUAAUUAUGUGUACUGGUACCAACAUCACCCAGGAAAGACCCCCGAAGUCCUCAUCUAUGAUAAUAGCAAUCGAUACUCAGGGGUCUCUGAACGAUUCUCUGGCUCCAAGUCUGGCAACUCAGCCACCCUGACCAUCACUGGGCUGCAGGCUGAGGAUGAGGCCAGUUACUACUGUGCAGCAUGGGACAGCAGUGUCAGCGGUCCCACAGUGCUGCAGGCCUGUGGGGAAGUGAUACAAGAACCCCUGUGUCAUCUGGGAGCUGGGUGA